UGUUGGAUGUUAUGUUAAGCUAAAUAAAUUAGGCGCGAGAAAAAACGCGAUGCAACACACAACCUCACCUCGUUUUUCUUACAUGCCCGCAAUCGUUUUCUAGCAACAUGCUGGAUGUUGCGAAUUUAUUACUUAUAAAUUUAUAGCAUGUUCCGCAACAUGGGCGCGGGAUGGUGCAACAUUUUUCAUACCCUAGGGAAAGGUAUUUCAACGAUAUUUUGAAGGAUUUGGUCUUCUUACCGAUUGUUCAUUGGAUUCAUUGGAUUAGAUCCACCGUGAACAUAGAAUAGAAAAUCUUCCUUCUGUCGGGAAAAAUUUGAAAUAAUGGAAAAUAUACA